CUUUUUUUUUGUCCCGCGAGUCGUGAUUCACACCAAGUGUCACCAACCAUUAAGUAGAAGUGUAGAACAUAGUGACGAGGGAGGUUGUCUAGCAGCAUAGUUGCAGAAAUCGGUGCUCGCCAAACGAUUCAAACCAUGACUUCAACUCCAUAUUCAUCUUCCGAACAGAUGGAGACCAAGCUUCAAAACCCCAGCCUUAGCCCAAUCCCUAACCCUAGUUUCUCGUCCCCUGCAACACGCCUCUGGAGACCUGCUGCGCAGAGAAACCUCCGAAACCAAUGGUCGAAAUUGCUCUCUCACAAGCAACAAUGGUACAUGGCAUCUUCGAGCGGGAGAUCUCACGCAACCUCUCUCGUCAAUGAUUAUCUCCGGCAGAGAUACAUGUCUGCAAUGGAUUUAGGUUGCUUAAGCGACAUGCCCAAUAUUCGAAGAAAAGCUUGCCACAAAUUGGCUCGUCAACAGGAGAUUCAUGGGAGAAAGCUUCUAUCAUCUUACAAGGAUAUGGUGACUGCUGUGUCACACAUGGCAAACACUUCUAGCUCCAUGCGGUGUUUUCUUAAAGGACCAGCAAGUAGCCCGCUUGUACAAUUUUCUAGUGCUUCAGAGGAUAAGAAUGACAAUGGUGAUGGUGGGGGAAUUCCGGUCUUCAGAUUUUGGUCAAUUCCACAUUUUGAAAAUUUGGGGCAGGAGCUUGUUCAGAUGUUCUCCCUGGAGCUAAGUUUCAAGCGAUUGCUUGUGGUUGAGUUACUCUCUGUUAGUUGUGAAGAAGUUCAACAACAAAGCACAGGACUGUGUUGGUCAGAUGAGCUUUAUCCAGGAGAAUUCAAUGAGUUGAGCAUAAGCAACUUAUAUUCUGAAGAAACUCAAGAACCAGUUCUUCCUAGGAUAAAGGGUUGGGAAUCUAAUACUCAAACUAUACAAUUUAACCAUCACCCGGACCAAGAGAUCUUACAGGUCUAUCUAACAGCAUGGCUAGCCGAGGUGAACAUAGAUACUCAAAGGUAAACAAAGAAAAUGGAAUGGUUAAAGAAAGUAGAGAAGACAGGGACUUUAUAAAAAUAUCUAUGGCGUCAAGGGUGGGUGAUAUAUUUUCCAUGGUUGGAGAAGAAAUGCAUGUUAACCUUUCGUGAAGCUUUCCUUAAAGCAAAAGAUAAAAGGGAUCACAUUGUUUCAGUGAGGGGUUGUGGAGGUUGUGGAUAACGAUGGAAGGAAAUAAAUUUGAUUUUAUUUAAUUUUGCAUCGCUUCGGUGUUCUUCCAAAUCGUGACUUGUUGCACCAGUAUGCAAAAGUGGUGCUAGUGAGCUGUGUUUUUGGGCACACCCCAUGGUUUCAGCCAUAUGCCUGAGCUCAAGUCUAACAUGGAAUGACCAAUAGUACAUUCUCCACUAUGUUCAUAUCCUAUUCAUGGUACAUACUAGGAGGGAGGUUUGAGGCUGAAGUUGCAGAGGCGCUUUGGAACUCGAAGAGCUUCAAGCUGAUUUGUCGGCACCUAGUGAUCGUCCAUAGAUCACAAGAGGGCCGUGAAUCCCACAAUUUCGCCAGGAAACCGUGGAGGACUUCCCAAUGGGACUGCAUCAAGGAUUAUGAUGCUCAACCCAGUUCAAGUCGCCAUGGUUUAUUGAUUACCAGGCAAUUGGAUACCAUUUGUCUUUUGGUGGCAGUAUUUUUAAUGACAGCAAUGAGCCAGGGCAGAGACCUCGACGGAUAACCAACGCUAUGACACUGGCCCGAGCAAGGUAAAACACCUCUUCUUUGCUCAAAGCCUCGAACUGAGGCUUGAAUGAGCAGGAGAUGAGAGAUCACUUGAAGAUCGCUGAUGGGAAUACUGGUUUCUGUGGUACAACUGAUACUGUUAGGCUCUGCAAGUUUUUCAUGGAGCGAGCUGCUGGUGUCUAUAUAGAACAGUCUUCAGCAGACAGGAAAGGAUAUGUUUUCAUUCAAGUAACUAAGUAUAUCAAUAUUAUUGUUGCAACGAGGCUGCAGUUUUGAGUUUUGACAAAAGGGGUUGUUGGACCUAUGUAGGUAUCUCUUGCUUUUGUUGUCGUGACUAAUGAUCACUGUGGGAGAAAAUUUUGGUUGUUCAUGUUCGACAGCUGCCCACAGGGGUCUCACUGCAUGACACAUUAGUCCACAUGAAUUCCAUCAUUUUUCCA